rnacentral:lncRNA from 1 species
UAGACAGUAUUCAACUCAAAUGGAGUCAUCAAUACAUUUAUUAUCACACUAUUUCAUAGAAUAGUGAGGACUACUAAUGCUAUCAUCUGGACCGUCACUACGUUCCCCGACUAGUCCCGGCUACGUUGUCAUUUUCUGAAGAGAACAAUGAAAGAAAAAUGGUGAGCUCAACUAGCCCAGUAAGAAAUAUUAUGACUAAGAUAAUGCAGAAUAAUUUAUCGUUAGCCUUCAAUAGUGUUAAAUUGACAAAAUAUAACAAACAUCAAGUUUUAC